GACGAACGCUGGCGGCGUGCUUAACACAUGCAAGUCGAGCGGAGCGGCGGACGGGUGAGCAACGCGUGAGUAAUUGGCCCCCUCUCUGGGAUAACAGUUGGAAACGGCUGCUAAUACCGGAUAGUGGGGGAUGACUCGGGUCCUAUCAGCUUGUUGGUGGGGUAGUGGCCUACCAAGGCGACGCCGGGUAGCCGGCCUGGGCGGGGGACCGGGCACAUGGGGCUGAGAUACGGCGCAAACUCCUACGGGAGGCAGCAGUGGGGAAUAUUGCACAAUGGGGGAAACCCUGAUGCAGCAACGCGCGUGCGUGAUGACGGGCUUCGGGUUGUAAACCGCUUUCAGCCAUGACGCGGUAGUGGCAGAAGAAGCACCGGCUAACUACGUGCCAGCAGCCGCGGUAAUUC
rnacentral:rRNA from 1 species